UUGGGGCAGAUGAUGCUCUCCACACUGCUCUCCAGGUUGCAUUCAAACACAUGAGCCUUGGUGAGCUUCUUAUCCCAGUGGGCCGCUAGCCAGAUCUUGGCCAGCGGCCCACGCUUGCUGAGUACAAAGUGGGCGUAAAACAUUGACCCAGCACCUUCUCACCCAAGGGGGGAGGAGGGGACGGGGACCGCCGACUUGCUGGGACAAAGGUUAGAGACUGCUGUUAGAAAAAACUUCCAGUCACAAGAGGUCUGAAGAAGAGAGGUUGAAAGAUCGAAAAAGGCGGCAAAAACAACAGGAUGAUGUAGAAGAUGCCCCCCCCCCCCCCCGAGAAGUCACAGCAUGUCACUUCAGCAUCCAGCUCUGCAGGAUCAGGUGAUACUGAAAACAAAAUGCACGGAAGCAGAUGUUCUUAUAAGGGACACCUUAGAGGCAGCAAGGUAGUGUGAACUCCAAACAUUUAAAGGCACUGUUUCCCUCCCCUGCAAGCAAGUAUGGGUAACUGCAUACGUGGGUGUGUCAUCAGAAGUGGGAGGAUCAACAGCGAUAGGCGUUACACCAACCAUGUGAAACAAGGUUGGGAGAGCUAAGGCACUCUAUUCUUAAUAUUAUGAGAAUCAUACUGUGGCUUUUGAAUGUUAACAAAACACAACAAACUCCUAACUAAAUAUGAAAAUAAAAGUAAUUUUUAAGUCGGUUA